UUCUGGUCCCUACAUCUCAGGUCUAUAUUAUUGACAUUAAAUCAACGUUGAUUUGAUGUCAGGAAAUAAGACGUCAAAUUGAUGUGAAAUUUAUGUCAAAACAACGUCUGUUAAAAUGUCUGAAAAGGUAUAUUAUUAGCCUACUCAUUGUAAAUCGACGCGAGUUUUUCAACAUCCUGACCCACACAGCAGAGGGUUCCAAAACGGACCCUCUGCGGCGGACUCCGUGCGGAUACGCACAUCGAACGCGCCCUUUCCAGUCCUAACGGCUCCUUCAGUUUUCAAAUUUCUCGUUGAUGAAGUGGAAGACGAAACAGCGGCGUCUGAAGGCUCACUGUCAUUCACAAGUGGCUCCAGUCUGGUUUGGGGGUUCUGCCAUCCAAGUAAAGUUAUUCACAAGUGGCUCCAGUCUGGUUUGGGGGUCUACGCUUUCUCAUCCUGUCCUGCC